CCACCCAGAUCUUCGGCCAUCACCGUAAGCCUCCACUCACUACCCGACUAUCAGAAUCGGAAUCGCUACUGAUUCGGUUUUGAUUAAGGGAUACGGAGAUAGAAGAAGCAAGCAGAGUUUGUAGGCGCCAAGAGAGAA